UACGGGGGGGGGCAAGCGUUGUUCGGAAUUACUGGGCGUAAAGGGCUCGUAGGCGGCCAACUAAGUCGGACGUGAAAGCCCUCGGCUUAACCGAGGAACUGCGUCCGAUACUGGAUGGCUUGAGGUUGGGAGAGGGAUGCGGAAUUCCAGGUGUAGCGGUGAAAUGCGUAGAUAUCUGGAGGAACACCGGUGGCGAAGGCGGCAUCCUGGACCAAUUCUGACGCUGAGUGAGCAAAAGCCAGGGGAGCAAACGGG
rnacentral:rRNA from 1 species